ACUUUCCUUUAAUCUUAUAGAUUGGACUGAAACAGCGAGUUGAACAACGGGUGAGCCGUCUUUCCUGUUUUCAAUACUUAUUUAAUCAUCAUCCAGUUCAACCGCGGUUGAGUCGAUUAAACCAAUUGAACUGAGACUCAAAGAUUUCACCUGAUGAUCUGCGGUCCGAUUUUCAAAACAUUGCAAAGAGUGAUGAUUUAGUAUUUUGUUAUUUACUACUAUUAAAUAUUAAAAUGAUCAUUGUCACAGAAAGAGAGAGCUUCUUAAAUAUUUUGUGCUUGUAGAUAUCUUGACAUAAUAACUAUUUUGGUACAAAAAUAAUGGCUACUCAAGUAUGACUCUGACACUGUGGCACUUCUCAUCAACACAAUGAUAUACACUUUUUUGGUUUUUGAUCCUAUUCCUAUUCAACUUGUCUUAAUUUGAGAUACUUUACUCUUCCUAUCAUUCAACCAGGUUUGUGAAAUUGGAUUCCUUGCAUGCAGUCAUCCUGUCCCACGCAUUCACGCAUUCAAAGAAUUAGUGACCGUUCAAUCAAGAUCUGAUGAUAAAAAAAAAAUACAGAUUGUAAUCUUUAUCAUUAUUUAAAAUUCCCAACUUAAAUUAGGACCGUUUGAUUUUGACAACUUAAAUCAGGACCGUCUAAUUUUGAUCAAACCGUCACCAAUACUUCAAAUGCGUGAAUGUGUGUACCAUGACUUGAGGGAAUCUGCACCCUGGUAUGUGGCUUUAAUAAUCAUGGUUUUUAACUAUGUACUUUGUUUUCAUUAUUUCUCUGAUGAAGAUAUAGCUUUCUAGCUUUAGAAUAAGUCCAAAACCAAAAUUGAAUAGGAAAAGGAAACUUCAUGUAAUGAACAAACUCAUAAAUAUUUGAUAUUUAGUCCUGUCGUUUUCUUUUAGUUCCUUCUCUUCUUUGGCAUGUAAACAACAAAAAAUAUACAUAAUUGCUUGGUUCCAAUGGGGUCCAUAGCAUGGACUUGCACAUCAUUGUUUGACGGAAUGUGACUUUGAUUUUACUUUAAUUUCUAUUUUGUUGGUAUAUGGUUUCUUAGAUUAAUGAAUUCAAAACAUGCUUUUUUGAAAGUUAAAGUCUUCUAUAUAUUAUGCAUAUGUUUUAAAAAAAUAUUCUUAAUGUGUUGAAAACAGCCUUUUGAGAAGUGUAAGAAAGAAGCAAUGAUAUUUUAAAACACCAAAAUUCACAAACACAGAGGUUUCACCUCUGGGCAAGGUUUUAAAUAACGGUCACACUCGCAUUGCAGUUGCGUAAAGGCUUUCGCGAUUUCGGUUGGUACAGGUGUUGUAACAGUGGUUGCACUCAUCGCGGUGUGAAUUAGUCACUAGUUGUUCUCUAUCUUAAAAAUGAUGAAUAAGAGUAUUAGUAUCGCCACCUUCCCA